UGAGGAACAUGACCUUCGGCGGGGGAGUAGCCGGCCCAACGGCCGGGUAAUACCGCGUACGACCACUUUGGGACAUCCCUAGGUGGUGAAAGCAGCAAUGCGCCGAUGGAGUGCCUCGCGGCCUAUCAGCUAGUUGGUGAGGUAACGGCUCACCAAGGCGACGACGGGUAGCUGGUCUGAGAGGAUGGCCAGCCACAUUGGGACUGAGACACGGCCCAGACCUCCGUACGGGAGCAG
rnacentral:rRNA from 1 species